GUCCACGCCCUAAACGAUGUCAACUAGUUGUUAGGGAAGCAAUUCCUUGGUAACGAAGCUAACGCGUGAAGUUGACCGCCUGGGGAGUACGGCCGCAAGGUUAAAACUCAAAGGAAUUGACGGGGACCCGCACAAGCGGUGGAUUAUGUGGAUUAAUUCGAUGCAACGCGAAAACCUUACCUACCCUUGACAUGUACGGAACCUCGCAGAGAUGUGAGGGUGCCCGAAAGGGAACCGUAACACAGGUGCUGCAUGGCUGUCGU
rnacentral:rRNA from 1 species